CACAUGCUAUCUGGCCCAGCCAGCUGCGUGUGACCCUUCCAAUCCUGGCUGGCUGCCGAGGAAGUGAGUUACUUUCACUUUCAUUCCUCAGCACGCAGCCAGUCACCCCCCCCUUCCCCUCACCCAACCCAGACUGCCAGAGGGGAGGUGGGGAGAGGUGCUCCGUGGGGAGAAGAAUGGACCUUAUGGGGGGGGGGGGCAACAAAGGAUACUGCAGCCGUUGAGCCUGCUUCACCUCACGCUGUGGGGAGAGAGUCACACUCACAGGACCCAGCAUCCUUGCUCUUACAUGCUCCACUGCUUCCCAUCUGUCCGGACUCCCGGCAGAGUGGUGCCCUACACAGCUGCCUAUUCUGCCUACGGCUAAGGACGGCCCUGGGGGGCAGCUGUCAUGCAAGUGUGCAGGGCCAUUAAUUGCCUCCUACUACACAGGACUGUGACUCUGGGAAAUGUGCAGGACACAGUGAAUGGUUUUGCAGCAAUGGGCUUCCUGAACUGUGGCACACAAUAGAUGGCACACAUCUCUAUUUUAGCACCAAACCACAGAGCACAUCGAGGGAGAAGGCUAUUUUUCUAUGGUAAUGCAAGCACUGGUGGAUCACCAUAAAUGCUUUCCUGACAUCACUGUGGGCUGGUCAGCGAACGUGCAUGAUGCACACAUCUUUAAGAACACAAGACUGUUCAGAAUCAGGGACUUUCUUUUCCAGCUGGUGGAUUAUCAUCGGGAAUGUUGAAAUGCUAUCAAUGAUCCUGGGAGACCCAGUCUACCCCUUGCUCCCAUGGCUCAUAAGGCUGUACACCAGGUACCUCAACAGCACCAAGGACAGUUUGAAUCACAGGCUCAGUAGGUACAGAAAAAUAGUUGAAUGUGCCUUUGGUUGUCUGAAGGGUCAAUGGCAUUGUCUAUUUACGAGACUGGACCUCAAAGAAAAAAAAUGCCAAAGAUUGUUGCUGCCAGCUGUGUGCUGCAUAAUAUCUGUGAAGCGAAGGGGGAAAAGUUUCCACUAGGCUGGAGGUGGAGUGAACGGCUGCCCGCUGAAUGUGAAUAGCCAGAUACAAGGGCUAUAAAAAGAGCUCAACAUGGAGCUAUAUGGCUCAGGGAGGCUCUGAAAGACCAUUUUAAUAGGGUUCAUAGUAGUGUGCUCUAGCUGGCCUUGGUCUUUUGCAGCCCAGUAUGAAUCUUGUAGCGAGUGCUGUGUGUGUAGUAAUAUAACUUUGUCAAUGCACCUUUUAAUACUGUCUGAGAAUGAUAUCGUGGGUUCUGGAAUAAAAGGAAGUAACAGGAAAUUGGGGAGUGUCAGACAUGCUCAGCACCAGCCAGCAUAUGUUGUGAACGAAUAAAGAUGAAUUAUGUUUCAAAAAAUAGAAUUUUAUUCUGUAAUGUGAACCAGGCAAAUGAUUAAACAUUUAGAACUUUAUAAAACUUGAUAAAUUAAGGGAACACAACUUACAAUGGGAAAGAACUGCCAUUUUAUAUUUCAGGUGCGCACACACCAACCGUGUCUUUCACAGGUCCGUGUAUGUGCAGCUGUGAUGGUCUUUAAUGUCCCCUGGAUUGGAUUGGUAGGGGCAGUGCAGUGGUCCCUAAUGCCAUGUGGAAUGUUGAGGGGUGGUGUAAGGAGGUCCCAACAUUGAGUUGUCUACGGGCUGCAGAGGGAGGUAAGCCUGGGAUUCUUGGACCUACAGCUCUACCAGAGUCUGCAGGAUCUUGGUUUGCUGCCUGAGAAGCACCAUUAUGCUCUGGUGCAUCUCCCUCUCCUCUCCACUCCUUCCUUCCCCAUGACGUCUGCAAGGGUCAUCCUCCAGGCCCUGUUCUCAUUCUCUGAUGCAGCACAGGCUUACAACAUGUCCUAGAACACAUGAUCCUGAGUCCUCUUCUUUCUCCUUAUCUGGCUCAGGCUUUCUGUGGGUGUGGAGGGGUAGACCCUAAAGGCCACAAUAGCAGCAGCUGCAGACAACACACAGGAGUACCAUUGUCAAUAUAUUCACAACAGAAAUCAAACUUUAGGAUACUGGACUCACACCUCUUGAUCCCCAAAAGUUGUGAGCACUGCAUUCUCACUUCUUGGGAUGAUACAAUCCUGUGCCAGUCACAGCACCAGCCAUGGCGAGUAUGGCCCUUGGGCUGGGGAGAUGGUUGGGGAAUUGAAGGAGGAUAGCUCAGUUAAUAUAGUUGUAUAGAGCAAUGGAAGUGAAUAGUGGCACUGUUUUCCACCGGCAGGGGUGAUUUUAGCUAGUAACCCACUUCUGAGGGUAACAGCUGCUGCUGGCAUCCCGAUGCCACCUGGGCCGGUAUGCUGCUAGCCUAUGUACUACAAUGGUGCCUGUUGAAGUAAUCACUGAGUGGCAUGGAAGAGUGUUCUACUGCAGCAGAAGAAAUAAGGCAGCCCUCCCCAGAAACCUUUGGCAGAGGAUUGCAGAGUACCUUCAUCACAGUUUCAUCACGAUCUCUAUGGAGAAUUCACAGGACAUCCUGGAGAACAUAAAACAAACUGCUCUGCAUGGCCCCCCCUGUCUAACUCUAGAGGGGGAUGAGAAGCAGAUAACACCACCACGUCUCUUGGUUGUUUCACUACCUCUUCUAGCAUAAAUAAAAAGAGUGAAUCAACAGAUGUGUCCUGCUAGUUUGGGGGGUUCCAUCUCUAAUUUCAAAGCAAACGGCAUACUUACCCUGCAUCAGGCUCGCUCUUGUUUGACUGUCAGAACUGGCUGGACUGCGAUGGGGUCAAAAAAUACCCUGGCUCACUGUGCAGCUGGAUCCCCUGGUCGUCUGUCCCCCAUACUCCUCCUUGCUGUUCAUGGCAGGGUCCUAUGACUCGGGCUCCUCCAAAGUAUCCACAGGGCUCAGGUGUGGGGUCUCUCCCAAGGAUGGCAUGGACCUCUUUGUAAAAGUGGCAGGUCUACAGCUCUGCACCAGAUUGAUUGUUGACCUCCCUUGCCUUCUGUUAUGCCUGCCACAGCUCCUUGGCUUUCAUGCGGCAUUGCUGCUGGUCUCUCUUCUAGCCCUUCUCCUGCAUGCCCCAAUGAAUCUGCUCAUAGAUGUCAACAUUUCUACAGCUGGAUCGGAGCUGUGCCUGCACUGCCUCUUCUCCCCACAAACCCAGAAGGUACAAAACCUUCUGUCUAUUGCAAGUAGCUGGCAUGGGCAGGUGAGCAGCUGCACAUAACAAUGGAGUGUUGCUAGGUAUUUGCCAAGCCGGGCAACCAGGAAAAGGAAUUUCAAAAAUCUGUUGAGCUUUAAAGGGGAGGAAUAGUUUCCUGUCCACCUGGCCCAUGGGAAAUGGAGUUCACAACAGUGACCAGAGUGGUCACCGUGGGGCAUUGUGGGACAGCUCCUGGAGGCCAGUAACAGUUGACGUAAGUAACACAGUAUCUACACUGACACUGCGUCCACCUAAUUACAUCAACCUUGACUCUCCACCACUCAGGGAGGUGGUGGUGUUAAGCUGCCAUACCGGGGCAGUUAUAUUGGCAGAAACAAAAUUUAAGUGUAAACACAUCCAUAGCUGGGUUGAUGUAAGCUGCCUUGUGUUGACCUAACCAUGCAGUGUAGACCAGGCCUUAGUGACCAGAUCUGGUGCCCACAGGCUCUUCUGGGCCAACUUGCAGCAAGCACUGAAGACAAAAGGAGGGGAAACAGAUGAUGAGCAUAGACUUGUCUUGCCCCACAUCUAGAUGGGUUUUCAAUAUGCCCCUCAUUAAGCGUUUUAAAUAGAAGGCAGGAGUUCGGCAUUUCCACAUCAUAACACUGAGAUUGUUGUUUUGCUUUUAGUAGAAAAAGGGCACCAGGCUUCCAUCUCCUCUUCUUCUAGUUACGAUAGAUUUUGAAGUCCAAGAGCUACGUAUGAGCCAGUAUCAAUAACAAAUAGCCGUCAGGUUUGUCCAGGUAGUUAACAGGUCACUUGUUGCCAGAGUCAUAUUGGGAUUCCAGGUGAAUGGAUGCCUCCAGAGGAAAACAUCUGUGUGUCUGCCUCUGAGAGCAGCAGCCCAGUUCCUUGUGUUUUUGUUUUUGGGCAGAAGUUUGGCUCGAGCUUUGUGCUUCAUUUGUAUUUGCUGCUGUUUUGUUUUUAAAUAUGGAAACUACCUAAAGAGCCAAGUUAACAGCUCUGCUAGUCUGUCCCCAAUUACAUAAAAAUUAAAGGGCAAAAGACCUAUUAAGACCUCUAGUCCAUUUUCCAACACUCCUCGUUAGACAAGACUGUUACCUGCAGUAUAUUCUCCUGUGCUUUGGCGAAGCUAGCUGUAAGUAACAGAAGUGAUGGGGCGGACACUGCUUGCUUCCCUUGGCAGGUUAAAACAUCGCCACUCACCUUUGAAAAUCACAAAGUCAUAUACACACAAGGCAGGCAACAGGCUUUGGAAUGUAACAAUUUAUUGGGGUUAAUAUUUUUCUUUAACUCCCCAUUUCUGGCAUCGAUACAAUACUCAAGAGCAGCAGAAAGAACAAAAUGUACAAGAAUACGAGAGUAAUUAGCACAAACUGCCCCCAAACCCAGAGCAAGCCAUUUUUCCGUUGGAAACGCCAAUGGGAGGGGGAUCCUAUCGCCCCACCCUGCGUCCCAUCCAUCCACUCUAGACAGAGUUUAGCCAGCUGGGAACUGGAUUAAAAUAAACAAACGCAAACACUAUAUUUAAAAAUGAAAAUUACAAGACAAAAAAAUAUAUAGAUAUACAAUUCAUUCGUGCAUGAUUCUUUAAUUAAAUGCAUUUUUCAAAAUAAAAAAAAGUUACAAGAUAUUUAGGUUUAUUUUAAAUUAAAAAAAGUCACCACCUCCCCUCUCUGGGUAGGUCUCCAGUUGGCUCCGGGUGUGUGAUUCCCAGCUUGAAGAGACAUACUUGUGCCAGCUCUCAGAGCUUGCAUACUAAAAAUAGAGUGAAGCCAUGGUGGCACAAGCCACAGGACAGGCUAGUUGCCCCGAGUACAUGCCCGUCUAAGACCCUAGAGUAGCUAGCCAGUCCUGAAGUUUGCACUGCCACAGUUACACUCUAUUUUUAGUGCAUUAGCUCAAUAAGAAAUAGUGUGAAUGUCUCCUUGAGCUGGGAAUCACACAACCAGGUUAAAGGGUAACCAUACCCUGUAUGCCAAGUGUGGGGUAGGUAUGGAGGGGGGUAUAUGGGUUGCAUCAGGACCAUCACCAUUAUAGAAAUUAAAUCAAAAUCUCUCUCUGGGAUAAAGAGUAAGGCCCUGAUCCUGCAAAGACUUAUGCACAUGCUUAGCUUGAAGCAAGUACCUCUAGACAUCAGUGGAACUACUCGCCUGCUUAAAGUUAAGUACUUGCAUAAGUCUGCAGGAUCUGGGCCUCAGUUUGGCACCUGGGGAGGUGGAGGGAAGAGGCAGAUGUGCAAGCCCUGAUUCCCACCCCCCCUUGCAAUUUUCCACCCAAAAUUUAAAAAAAAAAAAAAAAAAGAAAAGAAAAGAAAAAAAAGAAUCCCCUACUGUUAAGAGGAGAAGGGGGGGCAUGGCAAGUAGUUUAG